GCCUUCUGAGAAGAAAUAGAAGGUCCAGCCUGCCCAGUGACAAAGUUAAACGGCCGCGGUACCCUAACCGUGCGAAGGUAGCGCAAUCACUUGUUCUUUAAAUGAGGACUAGUAUGAACGGCAUCACGAGGAUUAUACUGUCUCCCCCCUUUAAUCAGUGAAACUGAUCCCCCCGUGAAGAAGCGGGGAUAAACCUAUAAGACGAGAAGACCCUAUGGAGCUUUAAACUAACACCAUCUGUCUAUAAACACUUCAUAAUAAACAGACAAAGCCUGCGUGCUAGUUUUUGGUUGGGGUGACCGCGGAGCAAAAUAAAACCUCCACGAUGAAAAGACUUACCCUCUUAAUCCAAGAGCAACAUCUCAAAGAAUUGGCAUACCAACAUAACUGACCCAAACAAUACUUUGAUCAACGAACCAAGUUACCCUAGGGAUAACAGCGCAAUCCAUUUCAAGAGCUCCUAUCGACAAAUGGGUUUACGACCUCGAUGUUGGAUCAGGGUAUCCCAGUGGUGCAGCCGCUACUA
rnacentral:rRNA from 2 species